rnacentral:rRNA from 1 species
CGGUAAGUUUCGGAUGGAAGUUAAGACUAGUGGCGGACGGGUGAGUAACGCGUGGGUAACCUGCCUCAUACGAGGGGAUAACUAGUUAGAAUGACUGACUAACACCGCAAUAAUAUAGUGAAACCGCAUGAUUUUUGCUAUCAAAUAUUUAUAGGUAUGAGAUGGGCCCGCGUCUGAUUAGCUAGUUGGUGGGGUAAAAGCCUACCAAGGCGACGAUCAGUAGCCGGCUUGAGAGAGUGACCGGCCACAUUGGGACUGAGACACGGCCCAAACUCCUACGGGAGGCAGCAGUGGGGAAUAUUGGACAAUGGGGGAAACCCUGAUCCAGCGAACCGCCGCGUGAGUGAAGAAGUAUUUCGGUAUGUAAAGCUCUAUCAGCAGGGAAGAUAAUGACAGUACCUGACUAAGAAGCCCCGGCUAACUACGUGCCAGCAGCCGC